rnacentral:rRNA from 1 species
AGAGUUUGAUCCUGGCUCAGGAUGAACGCUAGCGGCAGGCCUAAUACAUGCAAGUCGAGCGGCAAGUUGAGAAGCAAUUCGAGACCUAGAGCGGCGUACGGGUGCGUAACGCGUAUGCAACCUACCUCAUACAGGGGGAUAGCCCGGAGAAAUCUGGAUUAAUACCCCAUAGUACAACGCGAGGGCAUCUGAGUGUUGUUAAAGAUUCAUCGGUAUGAGAUGGGCAUGCGUCUGAUUAGCUAGUUGGCGGUGUAACGGACCACCAAGGCGACGAUCAGUAGGGGUUCUGAGAGGAAGGUCCCCCACACUGGCACUGAGAUACGGGCCAGACUCCUACGGGAGGCAGCAGUAGGGAAUAUUGGGCAAUGGUCGGAAGACUGACCCAACCAUGCCGCGUGCAGGAAGACGGCGUUCUGCGUUCGUGCACUUUUAUCUGGGAAGAAAAGGCCCAUGCGUGGGACAUGCCGGUACCAGA